UCCCUACGGGGCGCAGCAGGCGCGAAAUCUUUACAAUGCGGGAAACCGCGAUAAGGGGACACCGAGUGCCAGCAUUUAUGUUGGCUGUCCACAUGUGUAAACGGCAUGUGUUAGCAAGGGCCGGGCAAGACCGGUGCCAGCCGCCGCGGUAACACCGGCGGCCCGAGUGGUAAUCACUUUUAUUGGGUCUAAAGGGUCCGUAGCUGGUUUGAUCAGUUCUUCGGGAAAUCUGACAGCUCAACUGUUAGGCUUCCGGGGAAUACUGUCAGACUUGGGACCGGGAGAGGUAAGAGGUACUACAGGGGUAGGAGU
rnacentral:rRNA from 1 species